rnacentral:rRNA from 1 species
UACGAAGGGGGCUAGCGUUGUUCGGAAUUACUGGGCGUAAAGCGCGUGUAGGCGGUCUCGCAAGUCGGAUGUGAAAGCCCAGGGCUCAACCCUGGAAGUGCACUCGAUACUGCGAGGCUAGAGUCCCGGAGAGGAUGGUGGAACUCUCGGUGUAGAGGUGAAAUUCGUAGAUAUCGUUCGGAACACCAAUAGCGAAGGCAGGCUUCUGGGUGCCACCUGACACUGCUAGGACGAAAGCGUGGGGAGCGAAUGGG